rnacentral:rRNA from 1 species
AGAGCGAACGCUGGCGGCAGGCCUAACACAUGCAAGUCGAACGGACUCUUCGGAGUUAGUGGCGGACGGGUGAGUAACACGUGGGAACGUGCCUUUAGGUUCGGAAUAGCUCCUGGAAACGGGUGGUAAUGCCGAAUGUGCCCUUCGGGGGAAAGAUUUAUCGCCUUUAGAGCGGCCCGCGUCUGAUUAGCUAGUUGGUGAGGUAAAGGCUCACCAAGGCUACGAUCAGUAGCUGGGUCUGAGAGGAUGACCAGCCACAUUGGGACUGAGACACGGCCCAAACUCCUACGGGAGCAGCAGUGGGAAUCUUGCGCAAUGGGCGAAAGCCUGACGCAGCCAUGCCGCGUGAAUGAUGAAGGUCUUAGGAUUGUAAAAUUCUUACAGUAGGACGAUAAUGACGGUACCUACAGAAGAAGCCCGCUAACUUCGCGCCAGCACGCCGAC